UGCAUCUUCUUUUAUUUAUUUACAGGUUCUUUUCCCCCCCUCCCUACUCCUAAGUUCAAACCCUGGAGUGGUUUUAUUAUGUUUUUGGCUGGAUGUUACUGCACUGUUCUGCGUCAGAGCCGUUUUCUGAAUGGAAUGAUGGCACAGGUGGUACGAAUGUCGCUCUUGCCUGUGGUGCUGUUAUGCAGCUGGGGGUGGUGGUGGUCGUGGGGGGAGAUGAGAACUUUGCAGAGGCUGUCGUUUAAUAAUUUUUUUUUAAUUCCUCCCUCCCACCUAUUUAAAGGCUGGUAUGUCGGCCAGGGGUUGGUGCAGGGAUUAACAGACACUCUGCAUUUUAAAGCUUGGAGGUUUGUCACUGCGUAGUUCAGAAAGUGGUAAAUGGUGACGCAGUGAUCAUUGCAGGGCAUGUUGUCCAGUUUUUAAAAGCAUCAGGGGGACAGGUACACCGUGCCUUUCAGAGGCUUCCAGACUAGCUGAAAGGGGUUAAGGAUGAGUCGAGAAGGGAAGCUAGGGUUUAGGGAUUAAAUGUCAUCAUUUUGGCGUUGGAAAGUUGUUUACCUUGCUCUCUCCGUGUCUCUAUGUUGGCAGCCUUCCAGCUCACAUGUGAUAGUCUUCCCUGUACUGCUGCAUCAUUAACUAAGUGGCUGAGCUUGCACACGAUUGGCUGGGGAGGGUUCUGAGCCUAAACACUUGAUCCUAUUGGUAGAAAGGGUGAUGGCAGGUGAAAAGCUCUCAUGGAUUGGCCGAGGGCAGGGUGUCAAAUCUAAAUGUUGAUUUCACUUGCCUCAAAUCAGUUCUAAACACUUUGUGACUAAAUCACCUGGGUUUUCUCUUCUUUUCCUUUUUUAAAAUAUUUUUAAGGCAGGCAUUUGAAAUCUCUCUCUCUCUCUCUUGCAGUGUCAGUUAUGCAAAGUAACUAAAAGCAAGGGAAGGAUGUGACAAGCUCUUGGAGGUGGUUUGUUAUGUUGUUUAUGUAAAUAACACAGCCAGAACCAAGUAUGUCAUAGCUUGAAUUACUUCAGUGACAGAGAUAGAUCUUGGAAUAACUGUGCUCAUGCCCAGAGAGAGGUACCUUCCACAGCAGGGUGGACCAUCAGACCGCCUCCUGCAAGGUCAUUCUGCUGUCUCACCAUCAGCCGCUAACAGUGCUGCCUGACCUCAUGGACAUCCUGUAUGAGAUGCCCAAGCAAGCCACAGACUUUGGAAGGAACAGCAUCAGCUAUCAGAGAUUCCUCUUUUAUGAAAGGAAACUUGGAUUCCAGAGAUAGAAAGGGCACUCUCCAGUUUGCACUGCUGAAAGUGCACAUCCUCACUGGUCCAUCCAGUCAGCGUCUAGUCUAAUCAGCAGACCCAGCGUCAUCCCUGGAAGACGUCCAAGAGGAGACCAUUGCUGGUGGGGAUGAAGAGCGCACACAAGGCGGAACAGAAGCCCUGGAGUCUGUUUGCUCCAAGACAUAUUUUCUUAGAUCACCCUGAAUACGGAAUGUGGUUAUUUCCUGAAGGCUCUGCAGACUAAGCUAACCAGAAAAUGCUCCACGAUAGCAUUCUGCAAAAGGUCUGGCUAAUUAUGGCUGAGAUUAUUAAAC